rnacentral:tRNA from 1 species
GCUCUGGUGGCGCAGUGGUGAAGCGCUAGUCUGCUAACCAAAAGGUUGGCAGUUCAAAUCUACCCCGGGGCU